GAUGAACGCUGGCGGCGUGCCUAAUACAUGCGAGUCGAGCGAACGGACGAGAAGCUUGCUUCUCUGAUGUUAGCGGCGGACGGGUGAGUAACACGUGGAUAACCUACCUAUAAGACUGGGAUAACUUCGGGAAACCGGAGCUAAUACCGGAUAAUAUUUUGAACCGCAUGGUUCAAAAGUGAAAGACGGUCUUGCUGUCACUUAUAGAUGGAUCCGCGCUGCAUUAGCUAGUUGGUAAGGUAACGGCUUACCAAGGCAACGAUGCAUAGCCGACCUGAGAGGGUGAUCGCCCACCCUGGAACUGAGACACGGUCCAGACUCCUACGGGAGGCCGCAGUCGGGAAUCUUCCGCAAUGGGCGAGAGCCUGACGGAGCAACGCCGCGUGAGUGAUGAAGGUCUUCGGAUCGUAAAACUCUGUUAUUAGGGAAGAACAUAUGUGUAAGUAACUGUGCACAUCUUGACGGUACCUAAUCAGAAAGCCACGGCUAACUACGUG
rnacentral:rRNA from 1 species